rnacentral:rRNA from 1 species
CCCGCUGAACUUAAGCAUAUCAAUAAGCGGAGGAAAAGAAACCAACAGGGAUUGCCUCAGUAACGGCGAGUGAAGCGGCAAGAGCUCAAAUUUGAAAUCUGGCUCCUCUUGGGGCCCGAGUUGUAAUUUGGAGAGGAUGCUUCGGGACUGGCCCCCAUCUAAGUGCCCUGGAACGGGCCGUCAUAGAGGGUGAGAAUCCCGUCUGGGAUGGGUGGCCUGGCCCGUGUGAAGCUCCUUCGACGAGUCGAGUUGUUUGGGAAUGCAGCUCUAAAUGGGUGGUAAAUUUCAUCUAAAGCUAAAUAUUGGCCGGAGACCGAUAGCGCACAAGUAGAGUGAUCGAAAGAUGAAAAGCGCUUUGAAAAGAGAGUUAAACAGCACGUGAAAUUGUUGAAAGGGAAGCGCUUGCAACCAGACUCGCCCGGGGGGGCUCAACCGGCACUUGUGCCGGUGCACUCCCCCCCGGGCGGGCCAGCGUCGGUUUGGGCGGCCGGUCAAAGGUCCCCGGAAUGUAUCACCUCUCGGGGUGUCUUAUAGCCGGGGAUGCCAUGCGGCCAGCCCGGACCGAGGAACGCGCUUCGGCUCGGACGCUGGCGUAAUGGUUGUAAGCGGCCCGUCUUGAAACACGG